GAAGUACUCCCUCCGUCCCAAAAUUCUUGUCUUAGAUUUGUCUAGAUACGGAUGUAUCUAAUACUAAAACGUGACUUGAUACAUCCGUAUUUAGACAAAUCUAAGACAAGAAUUUUGGGACGGAGGAAGUAUAUA
rnacentral:pre_miRNA from 1 species